rnacentral:lncRNA from 1 species
UCUAUUCCAAUACACUGAUAUAAUUUCGAAAGCCAACCUAUGUGGCACUAAUAUAAUUUCGAUAGUCAAUCAAAUGUUUUAUUAUGAUUUAUAAUACUUUUUCUUCUAUUUCAAUUUAAGUGACACUGAUAUAAUUUUGAAAGUCAACCUAUAUGGCACUAUAAUUUCGAUAGUCAAUCAAAUAUUUUAUUGUGAUUUAUAAUACUUUUUCUUCUAUUUCAAUUUAAGUGACACUGAUAUAAUUUCGAAAGUCAACACAUAUCAUUUUGUGUCCAUUUAUGGAAAUUAUUAAUUUUCUAAUGCAACCAUAAUAAUUAAUUAGGGGUCAUAUAAUAAAAUCAUGAUUGAAGAAGCAAAGAAGACAUAUCUUCAAUGACUUAUAACAACUAAUUAGAAUUGAUAUAAUAAAAUUACUAUAAAAAAUACUUGGGGAAAAAAAAUAUAAAUGAGCCCCAUAUAAGACAUUGA